rnacentral:lncRNA from 1 species
UGGCUAUCCUAGAGCAGCCUAUGGCAAACAACCAAUGCGGGUUCUACAUAAUGUGGGCAAUGUACCAUUACGUUACUAGAAAAAUAGAAGCCUCACAUAAACUGGUGUGUACGCGCUUCCCAUCUCAUAUAUUUUGAUAGAACAAACUACUGUUUUCUCUAACAUUUGUUUAUUUCGAGACAGCAGAAAGAACUGAAGUGCCACUGGCUUCUAGAAGGCGAGAUCCGAGGAUUCUAGGAUACAUUAGCAGCCUUUAUCAUGGAUGAGGUGUGUACUAAGGACGGGUUAUUUUCCCUUUGUCAGGCCA